GUAUAUUUUCAUGCCUCUUUCCUCUCUGUGUACACAAAAAGAGGAUGCACAAGUCUUAUAGGAUGAAGGGGAGGACAAGGAGACUUGUGAAGGGGAAGGAAUCUCCCCUCGUUCCUGAACUGGGGCUCGGGGUGAUCUAGGUCGGGGGCUCUCUUGAUGUAAUCUCCAGAUUCCUGGGAAAGGAAAUCAGAAACAUUAGAAGAACGUGUGGAGAAUGCUGGAAGCCAAGGUUUGUCCUUCUUGGCUCUGAGGGAAUCUACUAAAAUGAUUCAAUACAACUGAAACUAGUCAAGUCUCCUAAAUAGCUGAAGAACUCAGACCACCUCGAGAAUCAGCGGCAGUGCCCAGUGCUCACACCACCACAGGCUGUUAAGGUUCAGAGGUCACCAGACCCACAGCAGGAUUCUCUGACCUCAGGGAUGACAUCAGAGCAUUCUGUGGACCCUGGGCCAACACAGUCUCUACAACUGCAGAGACUCCAUCUUCAAAAACAAUUCCUUUUUCCCAGUGGAAACUCUCCAAUGAAUCCAAUUUUCAUACCUUUCAAAUGUGGUAGGAUAUUUUGGCUGUGUUUCAUAGUACCAGUUAAAGAAGUCCCUUAGAAGAUCCUUAACAUAAUAAAUGUUUUAUUUAUUU